CGCUUUCUCAACGCAUUUACCGGUAUUUUGAUACUGAUGUGUGAAUGAUGUCUUACUGGUAAAAUAGCGGAACGCCACUGCGUGUGUGAACAGCACAUUUUUGUAUUUACUGGUAAAUUCAAACGGUACCUGACCAUGCCGAAAAGCUAUUUGAAACUUGGGCACUGCAUUUUACAGACAGAAUCCUGCAACUUCCCAUCCAGGAACAUCAACAAAUCACCUCCAGAACCCCAUGAUGAUAUUCCAACUCCUGUCUACAAAAGUGGAAAAAAAUCUUAAGUCUACAUGUUGGGACCAACAUGAUUGCAUUCUUGUGAUAGGCUGAGGUGACAAAACCAUUCCCUUUUGUCCUUGGAUUGGAAGAUGGCGAUCUCUGCCAUCAAGCCUUCGUUGUUUUUGACAGACAGUCACUCCAGCAAUACACCCUCCUUGCUGAUGUUGACAUGUUUUAAACUUUUUUUAUGUUUUGGACAUUAAUUUUAUUAAGCAGUGCACAUCAGUGUGGGUGUUUUUGCAGACCGUUGUUUAGAAACUCCCAAGAACGGAAUUCCAUUUUGUAAGAAGUCUGUGCAGUUAUUUCAUUUGUCAUGCUAAGGUGAUUCAUGUUGAUCAUAUGUUGACUGUUUGUGCAACUAUGUGUUGAUCUUAUUUGUUACAUUAACUAUUUCUUAUUACACGGUUCUCUAAAAUGCUAGAUUCUGAUUGGCCAGUCGUGACAUUCUACUACUGCUAAAAACUAAAAACUCAGAUGCUGUAAAUCAUUUUGACAGGUACAGUUUAAUAUUAAACAAAAAUUAAAUGUCAAUUUCUAUUAAUAACAUAUCCGACAUUAAAUUUACAAAUGAUUAAACCAAUGUGUUCGUGAUAUUUGUCCUGAAGAAACUGUUGGGGCUUUUUUGUGAUAACCUGCUGCCAAUACAUUAUCCCUUACUUGUACAACUUUUUACUUGAUCUAAUUGUAAUGUUAACUGGGCAUCUGUCAUUUUAGAUUAUGAGAUAUGAAAUAUACAUUUUUUUAAAUCAGAAAUGUGAUUGUUUGUGUAGGGCUAUGUACUCUUUUAUUGUUCAUGUGCAAUAAAUAUGCUUUUUUAAUUAAAUCUAUGCUUUGUUAUUUAUAGACACCACAAUGAAAGGUAUGAAAGCAAUUUAAACCACCAAAAUUUCAGCUUUAAAAACAUUAACCAAACAUUGGGUUGUUUCAACCCAACAAAAAGUUAUUUCUACCCAACAGAUGGGUUAAAAAAUUAACCCAAUGAGUUGGGUUGAUUGUACAACCCAACUUGUUGGGUUAAAAUAACCCAGCGUUGGGUUGGUCCAUAUUAACCCAGCGUAGGGUUGCAAAACAACCCAAGUUGGGUUAAUUUUAACCCAACGUUUUUAGAGUGUAGUUGCCACAUUGUAUAUAAUAAAUAGAGGUUUAAAAACUAGAUUCGGUUCUGAUUCAUUUGGUUAAUUCAAUUGAGAACAUAAUCCUAUGAGGGCCACAUUUAAUAUUUUUAUGUUUUUACACA